AGAACUGUAGAACUAUGCUGGAUGCAAGUAAUUCUGCAGUAUUUUUAUGAGAUGCUAAACUUUGAGAUGCUAACUUCACACACGUCGAAAUAAUAUCAGUGAAAGAUAAACUGUAUAGAAUCAAAAGAAUACCACCUUGUUUCAUAUGUAUGUUGUUUAAGUAUAUUUAAUGGAAUUUAAAAGCUUAUCAUAAUACCAUUAACUGUCAUUGUUUCACGUUAGUAAGGAUGUUCUGUAAUGUAUAAUACUGGCGUUAGACAAGUUCAAAAAUUUAUAUGUGAGUGACGUUUAUUGUGGGUCUCAAUUAUGCACGAUCAGCGAGCUAUGCAACAUAUCGGUUCCUUUAUCCAUCUGUUCAUCUGUUCACUCAUAUGAAUGUCGCUAUGUCCCAUGUCUAUCAGCUCGUAUCGUUUCCUAUUGGCUACAUUAAUGUGCAUCAUGGUUAUACUACUACGAUUUAUUUAUUUAUAGAUCUGCAGAGAGCGGAGACAGUUGUGAUGCAUGCUAGGAUGAAACACAAGAGAGUUUCGUAAUAGUUUGUUUAUUGCAAUGUGCAUGCAUAAUUAUCAAUUUUAUAGAUAAAAUCUUUUUUUAAGUACGUGUAUAUUUAUAAAAUAAUAUGUAUUAAAUUUUUGUGUUCUUCUGAGAGAUAUUUAGUUGACACAUAACCUAACAAUAAGGUUAGUUAAUUAAAAAAAAAAGAAUAGAUUAGUUAAGAUAAGUUAAUAAUAUUGACCGUGUAGCGUACUGUAUUUUCUAUUUACUUUGAUUAGUACUGCACACGCUUUCGUUGUCAAAGUCCAAAGGAUUAAUCUUUUACUGCCUAAGGCCAGUAUUUGCUUUUCGAGAAGCUGAGUUUGCUGGAUUACGCACAGAAACCGCGCGAAGAUACACUUCGAAACUGUCUACGCUGAAAAUUAAGCCGAGCAGUAAGGCAGCAAUAGUGCCGAGACGAAAACUACAACUCGUAAACAGAGAAAUAGGGCACUCAAAGUGCAAUUGCGAGGAAAUACGCAGAUGAAAAACGGUAUAAGAUGAAGGAAAAUAAUUCGAAGGGACGAUGCAUUAAUGUAAUGAUGAAGCACCGGACAAAAGGGUGCCUUUCGGACUGUACAAAUACGUGAAUUAAAAAAGGAUAUUUAAUCGCGCUAAUUGUCAAACAAGACUCGCUCGAGUAUCCUGAUCCUUUAAAACGCACGCCAAAUAUUAAUUAUGAGAGUAUGACAUUUGUGAUGAUGAAAAAGUUUCUACAUUUCACUCAUCGUACAUGGACACACGGUAAAAGUGCAUAAUAAAAAGCACGCGUUUAAAUUGAGUUUUAUAUUUUUCUGAAAUAUUGCCACGUAUGAAAAUCCUAUACGAUAAAACGCGACAUUUUCCUCUCUCUAUAUAGACAUUCAUUCGGCGAUAUAAUUACAGAAUCCUACACUAAAUAAUUUGUCAAAAUUAAUAUAUGUAUCAUACAACUGUUAAAAAUUACAAAACUGGCUAAAAAAAUAAAAGUAUGUUUGUGUAUUAAUUCAUUAUUAUUUACAUUCAUUCAGUAUUCAAUAGAUCUAUCAAUAUAUCAAUAUCACAAAUUGAACAUUCUAAAUAAAAUUACUAUUAAUUAUUUUUCAUAUAUUUUUAUUGCAUUGAUAAAAUUAUUGUAAAAUUAAACUAAAUACACUGUGGGAAAAAAAAUAGGAAAAGAAAUAGCUUCGGGCAGUAAUAUCGCAAAAAUACAAACUUGUAUCGCAAUCAACGCUGAUUAUUCCAUUGCGAGGAAUACCGCGAGUUGAUCAAAGGGUAAUCAAACAUGAGCUUACGAAUUUCCACAAAAUUCCCUUGUGAAAUCGUGCAUACGUUAUUAUAGAACGCCACAUAUCCCUCGAGGUGCAUAAAGCGAAAAAAGGGGAGAGAAAAAUAUAAGACUGAGCAACGGCGUGCCCGCUAAUUUCUCUAAUUUCGCUAAUAAAUUGUCCGACGUAAAAAUUCCCAGGUGGAUUGUAAAGAUAUUAAUUUCUUCCUACAAUCCCCAUCCGUUCCUUCCCCCUGUCUCGUUUUCCCCGAGUUACGCGUUUGUACUUCUGCACAAUCAUCAUCAGAGAGAAAACGCGAUACGCCAGAACCAUGCGCGACAAAGACGAGGACGGAAUUAUUGUAAAAGCACGCUUGUAUUAUGUUUUAUAUUAUAGUUAUAGAUAUUACACUCUAUGAAAGUCCACAACCGCGUCAGGGAAAGCGCAACAAAAGCGAACGCAGAGAGAUCAGCACCGUGGUAAAUCGAGUCAAAAAUAAAAAAAGCACGUUGAGAGACGAUGGCGUUUCGGUAGCGACUUUGUGAAGUGCUUUUCGCGAAUUAUGCUUGUAAUUAUACCGCGGACCAGUCCGUUCACCCAAAUGCACGCUCGAAUAUUUCAGCCCGAUUGUCGCCGAUGUGAUCACACGAGUGUGCAUUAGAUAUUAGUGAAAAGCAUUGUGCUGUGGUCAGACGCAAUGGCUGCUGCUACACGCUGGAUGACUUUCUACUCGUGACGGGUGUCUCCAUCCGUCCGCUCGACUGCUAAACUUUUAAAUCUCGCUUUUGUAAUAAUAAUUAAUAAAAAGUUGUUAAAGUGUAUAAAUAUCAAAUAAAUUCGCUCAAGAUAUAAAAAAAUAUCUCGAUUAUAAGAAAGUGAAAUAAAAAUCGUAUUAAACUUUUAUGAGUGAAAGUAGAACGUGACACAGUUAUUUACACAAUUAGUUUUUAAUCUUUGAUAAAGAGAAGCAAACAUUAAAAUGUUUUCACUUUGUAAUGAUUUGUGAAAAUAUCCAAAACGUACUUUAAUUAUUUUUCAAUAUUCGUAUUUUUCUUUUAUCGGAUAUUUUAUUCGAUAUUUUUAUUUAUCUAUAUACUGGCUGAUUGCAUAUUCUACUAAUACAAAACAAUCAUGAUAUUUUUAAAUCAAAUUGGGAUAAAAAAUAUCGGGUUACUGCAACAAUAUACGCUGAAUGUUGACAAAAUCAUAAAUAUACUUGUAUUUUAUGUUUUUAUCAGACAAUAUUUUAUAUGUUGCGUACCGAGCAUCGGACUUUUCUCACUACAAAUUUUGGGGUAAGCAGAAUGAAUCAUCCUUUAUGUCUUCCCCCUUCCAAGACACGCUAACGAAUUGCGUGUUAAAUGCCCGCGAGAAAUCACAAAAAACAUCUGCAUAUGAGAAAAUUUUUCUGGCGUGGAAUUCUAGUAUACAUAAUUCUUUCUGCUCGUUAUCAAGAGAAAGCUGUAGCAUUUCCGUUGGAAAAUUAUUACACAUUCUAGCUCUGAUAUAUACUAAAAAUAUAAAAAAAAAAGAUGAUAUGUUAAUAUUUCCAUUUACAUUUCAUACAACAACUUUAUCAAUAAUCAAUAUUUUAAAUUGAAAUCUUCACGAUUACACUUGUUAAUGUAUUAUUCAAUCAAUCGAUUUAAUAUUAUAAAAUAUUUAUUAUAUAAGAUUUUAUUUAUAAAAAUGACAGUACUGCAUAAUGGCUUGUAGAAAAAUAAGGAUGAUAAUGUAAAUCUCUCACAAAAAUAAAUUUAAAAAUUGGUUUUGUUUAAAAAAUAGUCUUUUGUAAUAAAAUUAUGUUUAUUCAAAGUAAAGAGGAAAUAUUUCAAAAUAUGUAAAUGUACAUAUACCUAACGUAUAGUGUGUAGUAUUAAAAAUGUGUAAUAAUACUAUAUAAUAUUGUAAUGUAAUAGAAGUAAUGUAAAAGAGAAUGAGAAAACAUGUGUAAUUAAAUACUAAAAUAUCUGUUAAAAAAUGCUCAAAAGUAAAACUGCCUUAUAAUUAUUAUGUAUUGACAUAUUAACACCACUGCAUGUAACAAACUAGUAAACAAAUAAUUUCAUAAAUAAUUGCUAAAUUGGUCGUUACCUAAUAAUAAAAAUAUUAUGAAUAGUCAUUAUAACUUAAACCGUAAUACCUUCUUCUCCUCCACUAAAUUAGAAAAAUUAAUCUCCUCGUAAAAAUUUUGUAAGCAUUUUAUCGAAUAUUUAAUGAGACCGUUAAUAUCAGGCAAAAAUGGAUCUAUUAAUAUUCGUGACAUAUAGCCAUUGAAAAAAAAGUUUCCAAUGGUAAGAAAACUUGACUCGUCAAUAUGCAAAGAACGACAGAUUAAAUUGCAAGUUGCUAUUCGCAGAUCGAAUCGUGCUUUGUGUGCACGGGAUAAUAGAAGUGUUAAACUUCGCCUUUAAAAUUUAAUUUUGCGCUUUAAAACUCCAGAGUAACGUUCCGACGAAAUUUCCCGAACGCGGUGUAAAUUCCGCCGAAAUAGAAAAAAGCCACGAAUGACCCAUGGCUAGGGUUGCCAUAUUAAAAUUUUUUUAACUAAAACUUACAGGCCCGGACAUUUCUGUUGCAACCCCGGACAUAUACAAGAAUACGUUAAUUACACAUAAUAAAUAUAAUAAAAACCGCUCAAUAAAUGGUCGUGCCAUUGGAAAAAGCACGAUAAAAGAAAUAAAUAAUUAAAACAUUUAAAAUCCUGGACGCACAUAAUUUUUUCGGACAAAUUUUCAACACUUUCAAAAAUCUCCCCGGACGACCCCAAAUCUCCUAAAAAAAGAGAACAGUGUCCGGGGAAAAGAGGACGGAUGGCAACCCUACUUAUGGCGGAAGAGCCUUUAUUAUAAUUUUCCGGCGGUAGCCCGACAGCGUUGAUGGUGGACGUCACAUUGUCAUCAAUUUCGCGCGACCAGUACAGAAUCCAGCGGGAGGGCCGGAGAUGAAAAGAGAUGAUUCCAAAUACUCUCUGGUAUAGAGCGAAUAAAUGCGAGAUUAACCGCGAUCUAAUUAACAAACGCUUUCAUUAGACUUUCUUCCGGUAGCUUCAUGGAAUUAAUUUCCCCUAGACUAUCAUCGUGUUUCUAUGUCUCGCAAAUAUAUGUACGACGCUUCUUCUCUCUCUCUCUCUCUCGGAGGUUUUAUAUGGAUGCUCGGAAACAGAAGGAAAGCUGUGGUACACGGAACUCGUUUUUACCAUGGCGACAUUGAAUCGGCCAAGAUAAGAAAUGUCAUUUCCCCAAGACAAUGAACGUGUCAUUAUUUGCCAUGUACAAAAUGAACCAACCGAGAAUAUAUACGUACACCGCCAAGUGCCUCUCCUUCUUUUCUUAAAACGUGUAAGAAACCUAAACAAAAUAGAUGAUUUUUCCCCGACUAAAAUUAAGCUAAUCUCAAUGAAAUCGUAAGCAUGCUAUUACGGCUUUUUAUUGUCAAAAA